UUCCGCUAGGGGAGCGCAUCGCUGAGAUUGAAGUGCUGUAAAACUAUGCCAUCACUUCUAACCCUCACUACUUGAACCGGAUAAUACCGGCGUAAGGAAGCAUAGAUUUC
rnacentral:ncRNA from 1 species